UCGUGCUAAACGGGGUGGUAGCGGUGCCCUAUAACCUGCAAUCCGCUUAGCAGGGUUGAAGUCUACUUUAGCCUAUUUCUUUUAAGGUCUGGCCUAGAUAAGUGGUGUUGACGAUCGGGUCCUACGCAAUGAGGCCUUACGAACCCCGUCAGGUCCGGAAGGAAGCAGCGGUAAGCAAGUGUCCUCAUGUGCCGUAGGGUUACCUGGUUCGAGCUAACUGUUUAGGUAACGCUUGGGAGAAAUAGGUGAGAGUAGAUGCACGG
rnacentral:SRP_RNA from 1 species